rnacentral:rRNA from 1 species
UACGUAGGGGGCAAGCGUUGUCCGGAAUCAUUGGGCGUAAAGAGCGUGUAGGCGGUCCGGUAAGUCCGCUGUGAAAGUCGGGGGCUCAACCCUCGAAAUGCCGGUGGAUACUGUCGGGCUAGAGUGCGGAAGAGGCGAGUGGAAUUCCUGGUGUGAGGCGGGUGAAAUGCGCAGAUAUCAGGAGGAACACCUAUUGCGAAGGCAGCUCGCUGGGACGUAACUGACGCUGAGACGCGAAAGCGUGGGGAGCAAACAGG